AUGCCACAUACGCCACGCCAGCGCUUGCAGCCCCGCGCCCCGGUUUGGUCAGAGAUGGAGACGCGGAACUUCCUGGCCCUCUGGGGCGAGCUGCUGAUUCUCAGGUGGAUCGAAAACCGGCCCCCCAACAGCGACAUCUACGAGGACCUCUCGGCCCAGAUGAUCGCCAGGGGUCACGAGCGCAACGCCUCGCAGUGUCGCAACCGGGCCCGGGACCUGAAGCGCAGCUACCGGAGAGCCAAGGACGCGCAGGUGUGCGCCGGCGCCGAGCCGGUUUCCUGCCGCUACUUCCGAGAGCUGGACCGGAUGUUUGGCGGAGAAAUGGACGGCGUGGCGAACCGGAGCCUGCCGAGCAUGGACGGGUCUGCCCGGGUGGUGGUGAAAACGGAAGAGGCGGAGGACAUGGAGGCGCAGGUCUCCGAAGAGGAGGGCAACCAGAUGACGCCGCCAAACACGCUCUCGAGCAUGGACGCCGACACGGACACCGAAACGGAACCGAACCUCGGGGUCUCGCGAGAGCUAGUGGCCGGCGACCCGGAUGUGAUUGAAACCAAAAUAGGGGAGGAGUGCCCCAGUGACAAAUCUCUGCCUUUAUACGGGCAACCGGUGGCUGGCCCCAGCGAAGAUGGGCACCAUUCUGUGGCUGGCAGAGGCAGGCGGGACAACUCCCUGGGGCGCCCCCUGACGACAGCAGAGAGGAUGGCGUCCAUGCGGGAGAGGAAGAGGCGGUCCCAUGAAGAAAUGAUGCACGAGAUCAUGACCGACUACCGGCGGACCUGGGAGACGAUGGAGGCGCUUCACGAGAGGGGCGAGAUCAGCGCCGGGGAGUUCCGUGAGGCGAUGCUGAGGGAGAUGCUUCUGGACAGAGAGGCCCGGACCCGCGAGGCCCAGCUAGACCGCGAAGCCAGGGCAAGGGAGGCCCAGCUGGAUAGAGAGGCGAGGGCCAGGGACAGCCAUCUGGAGAGGGAGAUUAGGAUUAAGGAGCUCAACAUGAUUGAGGCGGAGCUUCGGCGCACAAGGGAUAUCCUCCACCCCAUGGUUGACGCUGUGGUGUCCGUCGCGGAGGUCCUGCGUUCGACCAGCAGUAUACAACGGCAGCCUCGCCAGGCACAGCAGAGUGGAGGGGCCGAGUUAAAGGCCUGGGGCCUCGUGGUAUCUAUGGGGAUCUCUCUCUCUUGGUUCUGUACCAAGAGCAAAUCACUGGAAUGCAAAAUACAUUCAGGUAUCCCCAAGCUGGACCUUUAUGUGUCUGUGUUAUUUGUCGCUCGUUCCUUUACCAAGUAAUGGGGAUGGACCUAGAGGGAAGAAGUCUUGCUUUCCAGCCUUGAUUGUCUGCUUCUCAGAGGCAAAAGACACUGUUGCAGUAUUCCUUUUAUAGGGGCAGGGUCUGUCUCUCUCCCCCCAUCCACCCCACAUGUCAACUGUGGCUUUCCUCAGACUAAUAAUGAUGUUUGAAUGUGUGGGUUGGUGUGAUACUGUACAGCUGUGAGAAAUGGGGUGGUCUGAAAGUUGUGCCAUUGUGCCCUGAAGCUGCCAGAGCAGGGGUAGCUUUCCUGUGGCCGCCCAGAUGUUGUAGGACUCCCAAAUCCCAUCAGCCCCAGCGAGCAUAACCAGUGAUCAGAGGUGUAGUUCGGCAACAUCUGGAGACCUACAGGUGAUAUCCUUAAAAGCUCAUUUACAGUGGUACCUUGGUUCCCAAACUUAAUCCAUUCCGGAAGUCCGUUCCAAAACCAAAGCGUUCCAAAACCAAGGCGCGCUUUCCCAUAGAGAGUAAUGCAAAAUGGAUUCAUCUGUUCCAGCCUUUUAAAAACAACCCCUAAAACAGCAAAUUAACAUGAAUGUUACUAUCUAACAAGACUGUUGAUCCAUAAAAUGAAAGCAAUAAACAAUGUACAGUGGUACCUCAGGUUAAGUACUUAAUUCGUUCUGGAGGUCCAUUCUUAACCUCAAACUGUUCUUAACCUGAGGUACCACUUUAGGUAAUGGGGCCUCCCACUGCCGCUGCACAAUUUCUGUUCUCAUCCUGAAGCAAAGUUCUUAACCCGAGGUACUAUUUCUGGGUUAGCGGAGUCUGUAACCUGAAGCGUAUGUAACCUGAAGCGUAUGUAACCCGAGGUACCACUGUACUGCAGUCACACAAUCAAUCAGUAGCAGAACAGGGUUCCAAACAGUCACAAAAACAAAACAAAAAAGAGCCAUGAAAACAAAAACACAAAAUAAAUAGCAAAAACAGACAGACCUCAGCGCAGCACUCGAAACGGAAGCGUGGCACUCAAAAUGGAGCAUGUUCAGCUUCCGAAAAAAGUUCGCAAACCGGAACACUUACUUCCUGGUUUGCAGUGUUUGGGUUCUAAGUUGUUUGAGUACCAAGGCAUUUGAGAACCAAGGUACCACUGUAUUCCCAUUGCACUCCUGCCACAGUAAGUCCCAAUUAUUGCAGUGGGAACAGGGCACAUAUUAUUAACUUGAAAUUGAAGCCCAUGGAGGCUUUGGAAGUAAUGGGUGGAUGGUGCCCUAAGAUAUCUAUCCAUCCCUUAAUGCUAUGGAGAUGGACUUGGCAGUGCACAGUAUUCAUGCCUCAAUAGAUCUCAAGUUGCCACAGGAGGGAUGAUGAGCAGCACUCCUUACGGGUGACCUUGGGAGGCAGUCAGCACCGUGCAUAGAUUUUUGCUCCUCUCUGCAACUAGCUGAAACAGAAUCAGUGGUGCAUAAUAAUAAUAUAUCUUGUGAGUUCAGCUGUGAGCAUGAGACUCAAGAAGGAAGAAGAAGAAGAAAGAAGGUUGAUUUGAAUC
rnacentral:lncRNA from 1 species